UAAGAACCACUGCUGCCGACCGAGGCGCG
rnacentral:sRNA from 1 species